rnacentral:rRNA from 1 species
AGACCCGAAACCCGGUGAUCUAGCCAUGGGCAGGUUGAAGGUUGGGUAACACUAACUGGAGGACCGAACCGACUAAUGUUGAAAAAUUAGCGGAUGACCUGUGGCUGGGGGUGAAAGGCCAAUCAAACCGGGAGAUAGCUGGUUCUCCCCGAAAGCUAUUUAGGUAGCGCCUCGUGAAUUCAUCUCCGGGGGUAGAGCACUGUUUCGGCCAGGGGGCCAUCCCGGCUUACCAAUCCGAUGCAAACUGCGAAUACCGGAGAAUGUUAUCACGGGAGACACACGGCGGGUGCUAACGUCCGUCGUGAAGAGGGAAACAACCCAGACCGCCAGCUAAGGUCCCAAAGUCAUGGUUAAGUGGGAAACGAUGUGGGAAGGCCCAGACAGCCAGGAUGUUGGCUUAGAAGCAGCCAUCAUUUAAAGAAAGCGUAAUAGCUCACUGGUCGAGUCGGCCUGCGCGGAAGAUGUAACGGGGCUAAACCAUGCACCGAAGCUGCGGCAGCGAACGUAUCACCCAAGACAACUUUGCACAGUUGACGAUUGACGGAGCGAAGCGACGUCAAAGCGUUUUACAACGUCGAGUUGGCUUAGGGAUACGUUCGUUGGGUAGGGGAGCGUUCUGUAAGCCGUUGAAGGUGGCCUGUGAGGGUUGCUGGAGGUAUCAGAAGUGCGAAUGCUGACAUAAGUAACGAUAAAGCGGGUGAAAAGCCCGCUCGCCGGAAGACCAAGGGUUCCUGUCCAACGUUAAUCGGGGCAGGGUGAGUCGACCCCUAAGGCGAGGCCGAAAGGCGUAGUCGAUGGGAAACGGGUUAAUAUUCCCGUACUUGGUGUUACUGCGAAGGGGGGACGGAGAAGGCUAUGUUGGCCGGGCGACGGUUGUCCCGGUUUAAGCGUGUAGGUGUGUGUUCCAGGUAAAUCCGGUUCACUUUAACACUGAGGCGUGACGACGAGGCACUACGGUGCUGAAGCAACAAAUGCCCUGCUUCCAGGAAAAGCCUCUAAGCCUCAGGUAACAUCAAAUCGUACCCCAAACCGACACAGGUGGUCAGGUAGAGAAUACCAAGGCGCUUGAGAGAACUCGGGUGAAGGAACUAGGCAAAAUGGUGCCGUAACUUCGGGAGAAGGCACGCUGACACGUAGGUGAAGUGGUUUACCCAUGGAGCUGAAGUCAGUCGAAGAUACCAGCUGGCUGCAACUGUUUAUUAAAAACACAGCACUGUGCAAACACGAAAGUGGACGUAUACGGUGUGACGCCUGCCCGGUGCCGGAAGGUUAAUUGAUGGGGUCAGCGCAAGCGAAGCUCCUGAUCGAAGCCCCGGUAAACGGCGGCCGUAACUAUAACGGUCCUAAGGUAGCGAAAUUCCUUGUCGGGUAAGUUCCGACCUGCACGAAUGGCGUAAUGAUGGCCAGGCUGUCUCCACCCGGGACUCAGUGAAAUUGAACUCGCUGUGAAGAUGCAGUGUACCCGCGGCAAGACGGAAAGACCCCGUGAACCUUUACUAUAGCUUGACACUGAACACUGGUCCUUGAUGUGCAGGAUAGGUGGGAGGCUUUGAAGUGUGGACGCCAGUCUGCAUGGAGCCAUCCUUGAAAUACCACCCUUUAAUGG